AGUACAGUGUAAGAAGACUGGAAAACUAGAGAGGAACCAGAUUGUGAAGGACUUUAAAUGCCAACAUGUGACUCCAAUUUGCCUUCCAUCACAUCUGCUGGUUCCACAAUCACAGCCUUCCAGUCUCACCACUAUAGAAACAUGCCGUGUGUGUUUCCUUUUCAAUUCUCCUCCCUAUUCAGAUCGGCCCUUCUCCUCCCCCAGUGCACAGCAACCCAAUAACAUCCAGCUUUAACCCAGUUUUGCAUCUUUAAUGAUUCACUAGUCACCACCUCAUCCCCUGGACCUCGUGAUACUCCUCACUUUCAUCAAACAGAUAAUAUUCUUGUGAAUAUCUCCUUUGUC